rfam:Stegodyphus mimosarum contig174047, whole genome shotgun sequence.
GCCUUCGUAGUGUAGUGGACAGCACGCUCGACACGUAACCAAGAGGUCCGUGGUUCGAUUCCCGUCGAAGGCG